rnacentral:rRNA from 1 species
CACUCUGGGAUAAGCCUGGGAAACUGGGUCUAAUACUGGAUACGACCGAUCUCCGCAUGGAGUGUUGGUGGAAAGUUUUUGUGGUGGGGGAUGGACUCGCGGCCUAUCAGCUUGUUGGUGGGGUAAUGGCCUACCAAGGCGACGACGGGUAGCCGGCCUGAGAGGGCGACCGGCCACACUGGGACUGAGACACGGCCCAGACUCCUACGGGAGGCAGCAGUGGGGAAUAUUGCACAAUGGGCGAAAGCCUGAUGCAGCGACGCCGCGUGAGGGAUGACGGCCUUCGGGUUGUAAACCUCUUUCACCAGGGACGAAGCUAACGUGACGGUACCUGGAGAAGAAGCACCGGCUAACUACGUGCCAGCAGCCGCGGUAAUACGUAGGGUGCGAGCGUUGUCCGGAAUUAUUGGGCGUAAAGAGCUUGUAGGCGGUUUGUCGCGUCUGCUGUGAAAGACCGGGGCUUAACUCCGGUUCUGCAGUGGGUACGGGCAGACUAGAGUGUGGUAGGGGAGACUGGAAUUCCUGGUGUAGCGGUGAAAUGCGCAGAUAUCAGGAGGAACACCGAUGGCGAAGGCAGGUCUCUGGGCCAUUACUGACGCUGAGAAGCGAAAGCAUGGGNAGCGAACAGGAUUAGAUACCCUGGUAGUCCAUGCCGUAAACGUUGGGCGCUAGGUGUGGGACUCAUUCCACGAGUUCCGUGCCGCAGCUAACGCAUUAAGCGCCCCGCCUGGGGAGUACGGCCGCAAGGCUAAAACUCAAAGGAAUUGACGGGGGCCCGCACAAGCGGCGGAGCAUGCGGAUUAAUUCGAUGCAACGCGAAGAACCUUACCAAGGCUUGACAUACACCGGAAUCAUGCAGAGAUGUGUGCGUCUUCGGACUGGUGUACAGGUGGUGCAUGGUUGUCGUCAGCUCGUGUCGUGAGAUGUUGGGUUAAGUCCCGCAACGAGCGCAACCCUCGUUCCAUGUUGCCAGCACGUCAAGGUGGGGACUCAUGGGAGACUGCCGGGGUCAACUCGGAGGAAGGUGGGGAUGACGUCAAAUCAUCAUGCCCCUUAUGUCUUGGGCUUCACGCAUGCUACAAUGGCCGGUACAGAGGGUUGCGAAACCGUGAGGUGGAGCUAAUCCCAAAAAACCGGUCUCAGUUCGGAUUGGGGUCUGCAACUCGACCCCAUGAAGUCGGAGUCGCUAGUAAUCGCAGAUCAGCAACGCUGCGGUGAAUACGUUC